rnacentral:pre_miRNA from 1 species
UAAAAGUUAACUCGAAUGAAGUUGCAGCGUUUGCCUACGUUCGCCGCUAGGGGCGCUGUUCCAACUGCAUACAAAUUUCAGGUA